AGCGAACGCUGGCGGCAGGCCUAACACAUGCAAGUCGAACGGACCCUUCGGGGUUAGCGGCGGACGGGUGAGUAACACGUGGGAACGUGCCUUUAGGUUCGGAAUAGCUCCUGGAAACGGGUGGUAAUGCCGAAUGUGCCCUUCGGGGGAAAGAUUUAUCGCCUUUAGAGCGGCCCGCGUCUGAUUAGCUAGUUGGUGAGGUAAUGGCUCACCAAGGCGACGAUCAGUAGCUGGUCUGAGAGGAUGACCAGCCUCAUUGGGACUGAGACACGGCCCAAACUCCUACGGGAGGCAGCAGUGGGGAAUCUUGCGCAAUGGGCGAAAGCCUGACGCAGCCAUGCCGCGUGGAUGAUGAAGGUCUUAGGAUUGUAAAAUCCUUUCACCGGUGAAGAUAAUGACUGUAGCCGGAGAAGAAGCCCCGGCUAACUUCGUGCCAGCCGCCGCGGUAA
rnacentral:rRNA from 1 species